ensembl:snoRNA
GCUGGCGAUGAUGACACACUUGCCCUCACUGAGGUCCCGAGCAGGGAUUGUUGCUGAGAACUUUCUCUGUACUCAUGGGCUGAGCCUCC